UGACGAGUUUGAUCCUGGCUCAGAUUGAACGCUGGCGGCAUGCUUUACACAUGCAAGUCGAACGGUAACAGGCCGCAAGGUGCUGACGAGUGGCGAACGGGUGAGUAAUGCAUCGGAACGUGCCCAGUCGUGGGGAUAACGCAGCGAAAGCUGCGCUAAUACCGCAUACGAUCUAAGGAUGAAAGCGGGGGACCGAAAGGCCUCGCGCGAUUGGAGCGGCCGAUGUCAGAUUAGGUAGUUGGUGGGGUAAAGGCUCACCAAGCCAACGAUCUGUAGCUGGUCUGAGAGGACGACCAGCCACACUGGAACUGAGACACGGUCCAGACUCCGUACGGGAGCAGCAGUGGGGAAUUUGGACAAUGGACGCAAGUCUGAUCCAG
rnacentral:rRNA from 1 species